ACCAUAUCAUGUUGAAACACCAGUUCUCAUCCAAUUAUUGAAGUUAAGGAAUGCCAAGCUUAGUCAGUACCGAGAUGGGUGACUGCUUGGGAAUACCAGGAGCUAU